AUUGAACGCUGGCGGCAGGCCUCACACAUGCAAGUCGAACGAGUGGCGUACGGGUGAGUAAUGUCUGGGAAACUGCCUGCUUGAGGGGGUUAACUACUGGAAACGGUAGCUAAUACCGCCUACCAUCGGAUGUGCCCAGAUGGGAUUAGCUAGUAGGUGGGGUAACGGCUCACCUAGGCGACGAUCCCUAGCUGGUCUGAGGGGAUGACCAGCCACACUGGAACUGAGACCCGGGCCAGACUCAUACGGGAGGCAGCAGUGGGGAAUAAUUCACAAUGGGCGCAAGCCUGCUGCAGCCAUGCAGCGUGUAUGGAGAAGUCGUUCGGGUUGCAAAAUAAUUUCAGGGGGGAGGCGUUAACCGCAGGAGAAGCAACGGCGAACUCCGUGCCAGCAGCCGCGGUAAUUC
rnacentral:rRNA from 1 species